rnacentral:rRNA from 1 species
CCCCGGGAAACCGGGGCUAAUACCGAAUAAUCGUUGGAACCGCAUGGUUCCAACGUAAAAGGCGGCUUUGCCGUCACUUUCAGAUGGACCCGCGGCGCAUUAGCUAGUUGGUAAGGUAACGGCUUACCAAGGCAACGAUGCGUAGCCGACCUGAGAGGGUGAUCGGCCACACUGGGACUGAGACACGGCCCAGACUCCUACGGGAGGCAGCAGUAGGGAAUCUUCCGCAAUGGACGAAAGUCUGACGGAGCAACGCCGCGUGAACGAUGAAGGUCUUCGGAUCGUAAAGUUCUGUUGGAGGGAAGAACAAGGCCAGAGGAAAUGCUGGUACCUUGACGGUACCUAACCAGAAAGCCACGGCUAACUACGUGCCAGCAGCCGCGGUAAUACGUAGGUGGCAAGCGUUGUCCGGAAUUAUUGGGCGUAAAGCGCGCGCAGGCGGUUCCUUAAGUCUGAUGUGAAAGCCCACAGCUCAACUGUGGAGGGCCAUUGGAAACUGGGGAACUUGAGUACAGAAGAGGAGAGCGGAAUUCCACGUGUAGCGGUGAAAUGCGUAGAUAUGUGGAGGAACACCAGUGGCGAAGGCGGGCUCUCUGGUCU